rnacentral:rRNA from 1 species
UACGUAGGGUGCAAGCGUUGUCCGGAAUUAUUGGGCGUAAAGAGCUCGUAGGCGGUUCUGUGCUGUGCUGUGAAAACCGGGGCUUACACCUCGGGCCUGCAGUGGGUACGGGCAGACUAGAGUGCGGUAGGGGAGACUGGAAUUCCUGGUGUAGCGGUGAAAUGCGCAGAUAUCAGGAAGAACACCAAUGGCGAAAGCAGCUCUCUGGGACGGUACUGACGCUGAGACGCGAAAGCGUGGGGAGCGAACAGG